UACGUAGGGGGCUAGCGUUGUCCGGAUUUAUUGGGCGUAAAGAGCGUGUAGGCGGCCAGGUAGGUCCGUUGUGAAAACUCGAGGCUCAACCUCGAGACGUCGGCGGAAACCCUCUGGCUAGAGUCCGGAAGAGGAGAGUGGAAUUCCUGGUGUAGCGGUGAAAUGCGCAGAUAUCAGGAAGAACACCCGUGGCGAAGGCGGCUCUCUGGGACGGUACUGACGCUGAGACGCGAAAGCGUGGGGAGAAAACAGG
rnacentral:rRNA from 1 species